AUGGCAGCCAAAAGAAGAAAGGUGCACAUAAGGAGCUAUUUCAGAAGAGUGACAGAAGCAGUGCCAGGCACUAGUGCAGGCAGAGGAGAGGAAAGUGGAGAGGCAGGGACAGGGUCACAGGACUUCCUCAGAGGAGAAUCAUGAGUGCUGGAAAAGCUGCCUCACCUUUCCUCCAUUUCUUCUCACCUUGUUGCAUGAAGCUGCGCCUCACCCGGGAAGCAAAUAAGAUCAGGUGGCAGCAGCAGGAGGCACUGACAAAAAGCUGUCGGAUAGUUUCCAACAGCCUUCAGUCUGUGGAGGAAGUCACAGAAACACUCACAUCCUGUUAGAUCCGAUUCCAAUUUAUUCAAAUGUUAUCAGACCCAUACAUCAGGUUUUUUUUUCAGUUCAGUUUUUCUAUUUAUUUCUCUGUUUUAAUUGUAACAGAGUAGCCUAUUAAAAUGCUUGUCAAUCUGUCAAUCUAAAUUGAAAACAUUAAUAGUCAAACACAGAUGAAAGAAAUAAAAGACGAUAGCUUGUUUUUUAGAUCUGUCUGAGUCAGGGCUUCACAUCUGUACAGAUAUUAUUUUAGAAAUCCUCACAUCCCACUUAC